UUGAACAUGAGAGUUUGAUCCUGGCUCAGAACGAACGCUGGCGGCAGGCUUAACACAUGCAAGUCGAACGCUCGCAGCAAUGCGGGAGUGGCAGACGGGUGAGUAACGCGUGGGAACAUACCCUUUGGUUCGGAAUAACUGAGAGAAAUUUCAGCUAAUACCGGAUGUGCCCUAUGG
rnacentral:rRNA from 1 species